ensembl:snoRNA SNORA74 Small nucleolar RNA SNORA74
UCCAGCGGUGGGCAACUGCCUAGGUUGCCUUGUACCUGGGCAAAUGUUACACUGCUGGGAGAAAAAUAGCCAGUAGCUGGCAGGCAUUCUGGGCCUGGUUAAUGCCAACUCUGUGUUAACUAU